rnacentral:lncRNA from 1 species
UCCCACUACUCUUUUUGUAAACUUUCUUGCUAUUUCCGGGUGUGUUUUAAUCGAAGAAUGUUCUCUCUAUUGACACUAUGGUAUAUAAACUCAUCAUAUAUACCAUGAUUGACAUUUUAUAUUGACGGAAGACGUGCGUUUCGUCUAAAAAAAAUAAGACUCAUUAGUGCGCUCGAAUAAAAAAUUUAAAAAGGAAAAAUAAAGUUCGAAGUUGAAGAGGAUUGAGGACCAAUAUACGUAUUCCCAAUUACAUCCACCG